rnacentral:rRNA from 1 species
UGACCGGGCCCAAGGUAGCAUAAUUUAUUUUCUUUUAAUUAAAGGCUUGUAUGAAUGGUUGAAUGAGAUUUUAACUUUUUUUUUUUUAAUAAAAAUGAAUUUUAAUUUUUAGUAAAAAUGCUAAAAUAAAAAAAUUAGACGGGAAGACCCUAUAAAUUUUAAUUUUAUUUUUUAUAAUAUUAAUUUUGAAAAUUUUUAAUAAAUUAUAAAAAUAAAAUUUUAUUGGGAGGAUAAUGAAAUUUAAUAAACUUUUAUUUUUUUUUUAUAAAUAUAAUUAAAUUAUUGAAUAUAUAAUUAUAAAAUAUUUAAAAAAUUAAGUUACUUUAGGGAUAACAGCGUAAUUAUUUUAAAGAGUUCUUAUCGAUAAAAUAGUUUGCGACCUCGAUGUUGAAUUAAGGAAUUAAUGUACGCGUGUAGA